AAGUCGUAACAAGGUUUCCGUAGGUGAACCUGCGGAAGGAUCAUUAGUAUUCAAUAUACAAUUUUAAACCACUCUGUGUAUCUUUCCUGUUGCUUCCGUGAGGCGGUCGGUUCAUCAUGAUCGGCCAACUGCGAAGGUUAUUUCAAGUUCACCUUUGGUGAGCUUGUACCAACCUGAGUGGUUAGUAUUCACGGAAGGUAUAUGGCAAACACCUUUGCAUUGUUUAUUCUGUCCGAAAUUUGUUAAAACAAAUAUGAAAACUUUCAACAACGGAUCUCUUGGUUCUCGCAUCGAUGAAGAACGCAGCGAAAUGCGAUAAGUAGUGUGAAUUGCAGAAUUCAGUGAAUCAUCGAAUCUUUGAACGCACAUUGCGCCUCCUGGUAUUCCGGGAGGCAUGCCUGUUCGAGCGACUUUAGAAAAACAUCAGACAAUUAUUGUUUGGUCAUGGGUGUGGAGGUGGGAACAACUGUUUCCCCUCCCUCCUGAAAUUGAAUGGCAAAUUGUCCGAUUUGUAUCAAAGCGUGAUAAGUUAAACCUUUCGCUUUGCAAACCAGUCACUGUCGCCUUUAACCAC
rnacentral:rRNA from 1 species